GCAGAGAUCUCGUUGUCAUCAACUGUUUGUGGAAUGCUAAAGACCUACCUACGCUCCUCUUUGGAUGGUGGGCAGAGUAAAGUUUAGUUGCGGCCUAUCCAGAGAUCAUUGGCCACCCUACCUCUAGUACAACAAAGCCAGUGUGAGAUGAAAGAGGUAUGUCAGAUGUGUAACAAAGAAGUUCUUGUUCACGAGCAUUUGUGGGCAUGUACUGAAGGAUUAGACUCUGAUGAAUCCUCU